rnacentral:lncRNA from 1 species
CAGAUGAUAGAUAAAUACCCAAACAGUUGUGGAAUUGUUUAAAGUAUUUUUCAUAAAUCGUCAUUUAGGAAGCCUGCCUAAAACGUGGUCUGAAUCUCAAAACAUAAGGCCUCAGAAGAGAACAUCGGCAAAGAGCUUGCCUGUCGGCAGUGCCAGCUGAGUGUCUCCAGGGUCUGUGAACCUGAAGCUGCAGCUCCACCUUCCCCACCUAAGUACCCCCAGGAAUAUCAACGUUUUAUCCAAGAUCUACUUCUGAUUUAUACCUGGAGUGGAUAUGCCAGCUCAUCAUUGGGGUA